AUGAACUUGGGAAGCAGCCUGUUUGUAUCAGAGAAAAACAAGAAUGCCAAAGAGAUGGAGACUGGUAACAAGACUCUGAGAGACAGUUUGAACCUGGAAGAAGAUGCUGCGUCCUAUUGUGAUCUCUUUUGGAAUUCUUUGGGAAGUCAAAGAAGUCUGAGAGCAGUGGCUGUUGUGUCUCCAGAUACUGUAAGUAUGAAAGAAAGUACUGGGGAGAGGGCAAGGUGUAGUUACCAAAGAAUCAGGCAGGAUGCCCUCCAAAUGGGACAGAGACUAGAACAAGGCAGAAAAAUUGAAGCAGGCACUCACUCUCAGCACUGGGCAAUGUAAGGUCAGCAUGUCUUAACGUUAGCCCUGGGUGUUUCUUCUGCCUCACCCUUGUCCAGCCCUGCCUUCAGGUAAGAAUGACCUCUAAUGAACACUCUGUUUGUUUGUUUGUUUGUUUUGGGCCACACCUGUGGCAUCCAGGAUUCCAGGGCCAGGAAUGGAACCUGUACCACAGCAGCAACCUGAGCCACAGUAGUGACAGAUGAUGCCAGAUCCUUAACCCGCUGCACCACCAGGGAACUCCUCUAAUGGACACUCUUAUCUCCUCAAAUUCACUUCUGUUGCUAUAUGCCUGCUUUUCGGUUCUGACCUGUAUAUUUUAUUAAUUUUACUUGAAGAGCUAUAAUUUUAACCAUAAUCCUGAUGAAAACACAAUCACAGAAAAAAGAUAUUUUCUAUUCUUCAUACCCAGGCAUUUAAUUUUUUACAAUGUUAACUCCAAAUUAGUGAGGACCUAUGUGCCUAAAGUUAGAGAUAUUUUACAUAUAUUAUGUUUAACAUGCACUAAGAAAUUCUUUAGUCUAUGCAUCUGUAGCCCACUUAGCAGAUGAGUCCCAGAGAGAGUAAAGGACUGGUCCCCAACCUGAAAGAAGACAGGGCCACUCCCACAAGAGUGCCACAUCUGCCCUCACUUCCCGUACUCACUUCAGGCCUUAAAAUCCCUGAUUUUCUUGUUUUAAUUCCCUUAAUCACUACAAAUUCUGCCUCUUCAUCUCCAAGUCAGGUUUUUCUUACUUGAUUAUAAGAUUUUACUAUUGCUUUGCUUUUGUGGUUUCUUCCUCUUUCCCAGCUUAAAAAAAAAAAAAAAAUUCAUUGAGUUUCAGAGUAGAUCAGUAUGUCAAGUUUUCUCAAAACAUUCUUUAAAGUCAUUUUCUGACUUAAAUGUCUAGAGGGCAGAGCUAAAUGGGGCCACCAGGUAAGAAAGCAGGACGGCUCCACACACUUACAGAGGCUGAGGAAGGAGAAAUGGAAAGGAAAAAUCUUAUUAGGCUUUGUAGGUCAGGGAAAUCCUUUCUAGCCUGGAUUUUUAAACCUUCUGAAUUUUAAUUGAAAGUAUUUCCCCAGAGUAUUUACUUUAACAUGACUGUGCACUCUCAAAAUAUAUAUAUAUAUUCCCUAUCCAUAUUAGAAAUAUAUUACAAAUUCCAGGAAGACAAGAUUGCAUUACAAGGGAGAAUUCAAUGAUGUACCCUUUCUGCUUCGGACAGUAGUCAUGACAUUGCUGGCAACUACAGAAAUUUCCAGACUUCUACUGAGCAUCUCUGCUGGGAAAAAUCUAAUGCUUGUGGGUAAGAUAUAUGACUAUCUGGUCCCACCUAGGAAUCACCAUUAGUUUUUUGUUUUGUUUUAGGUGGUUUUUUUUUUUGUCUUUUUUUUUUUUUUUUUUUUUGCCAUUUCUUCAGCCACUCCCGCGGCAUAUGGAGAUUCCCAGGCUAGGGGUCUAAUCCAAACUGUAGCCACCAGCCUACGCCAGAACCACAGCAACACAGGAUCCCAGCCGCAUCUGUAACCUACACCACAGGUCAUGGCAACACCGGAUCCUUAAGCCACUGAGUAAGGCCAGGGGUCGAACCUGCAACCUCAUGGUUCCUAGUCAGAUUGGUUAACCACUGUGCCACGACAGUAACUCCACCAUUAGUUUUUGUUUGUUUGUUUUUUGUUUUUUUAAUUACUCAAAUGAGUUUAUCACAUCUGUAGUUGUAUAUUGAUCAUAACAAUCUGAUUUUAAAAGAAGUGAGCAGUACUCCUUUUGGGAGACUUAUGAUCAUUCACAUCAGAAAAUGCUCCCAAAUUAGACAGCAAAAGAUUGGUUUUAACAAACCUGGGGGUGGGGGUUAGACAGAUAUGAAAAUUAAUGAACAAAACUUUAAGUCACCCUGAUUUCCAGUUUUGGCCUUGAAUGCAAAACAUUGCUUAUUCUUUGUACAGUACACACACACACACACACACACACACACACACAUGCACACCCCAAAAGAUAGGGAUUCUCAAUGCAAAACAUAUGUGAAAUCCUUAUAACAAAUGCAAAAUCAAUAGAAAAGUAUAUAUAGAACUACCAUAUGACCCAGCAAUCUCACUCUUGGGCAUCUAUCCAGACAAAACUUUCCUUGAAAAAGACACAUGCACCCCUCUGUUCAUUGCAGCACUACUCACAAUAGCCAAAACAUGGAAACAACCUAAAUGUCCAUCCACAGAUGACUGGAUUAAGAAGAUGUGGAUAUAUAUACAAUAGAAUACCAAUCAGCCAUAAAAAGAAGAAAAUAAUGCCAUUUGCAGCAACAUGGAUGGAACUAGAGACUCUCAUACUAAGUGAUAUAAGUCAGAAAAAAAGACAAAUACCGUAUGAUAUCACUUACAUCUGGAAUCUAACAUAUGGCACAAAUGAACCUUUCCACAGAAGAGAAACUCAUGGACAUAAAGAAUAGACUUGUGGUUGCCAAGGGGGAGGGGGAGGGAGUGCGAUGGACUGGGAAUUUGGGGUUAAUAGAUGUAAACUAUUGCCUUUGGAAGGGAUAAGCAAUGAGAUCCUGCUGUAUAGCACUGGGAAUUCUAUCUACUCACUUACGAUGGAGCAUGAUGAUGUGAGAAAAAGAAUGUAUAUGUGUAUGUGUGACUGGGUCACCUUGCUGUACAGAAGAAAACUGACAGAAAAAAAGAAAAAAAAAAAAAGAAAAAUCAAGUGACAGCUAAGUGUUACUACUCAUCUUUCCUUAAUUUGUAUGUACGUAUAUCUUUGUCCAAACUAGAAAUGCUCUUCUUCCUGUUGUAUCAUGACAACCAUGAUUAUUUGUAAUAAAGUGGAUUAUAAUAAUACA
rnacentral:lncRNA from 1 species